GCAGAUCCAUUUUCUGCCACCGAAUACAUUAGCAUGGGAUAAUGGAAUAGGACCCUGUCCUCCUAUUUUCAGUUGGUUUUGGCAGCGCGAGGACUAGGGUAAUGAUUAAUAGGGAUAGUUGGGGGCAUUAAUAUUUAAUUGUCAGAGGUGAAAUUCUUGGAUUUAUGAAAGAUUAACUUCUGCGAAAGCAUCUGCCAAGGAUGUUUUCAUUAAUCAAGAACGAAAGUUAGGGGAUCGAAGACGAUCAGAUACCGUCGUAGUCUUAACCAUAAACGAUGCCGACCAGCGAUUAGGAGACGUUGAAUACAAAACACCACCAUCGGCGCGGUCGUCCUUGGCGUCUCGGUUUCGGGGGGGGCGCGGGGGCGGCUUAGCCCGGUGGCACCGGUGAAUGACUCCCCUAGCGCU
rnacentral:rRNA from 1 species